GAUUAUCACAUAAUACCUAUGAUAAGUAAACUUAGCUAGCAAUCCAGCUAUACAGGUCCACAAUAAAGGCAGCUAUACACGACAUGGAUAGAAGACCAUGGUCAAAAAGAGCGGGUGGAAGAUGCUAGACUGGACGACACGGAUAGAAGAUCAGCUAUAUGCAACAACAAAAGCGGCUGAACGAUGGAGUAGUGGUUAGGAUCAUUCAUCAAAAAGGCAUUUCUUUGUUGGCUUGCGCUUGCCUCGGCCAAGUGCUGGGUCUAUUUCCUACUUGGAGCAAACUCUAGAAUAGAGGAUAAAAUCCUACUCGGAUUUUGAAGAACCGUAUGCUGGAGACGAUGCAGGCACGAACACAGGUGAAGCCAGGAUUUGACUAUUAUGCAAACACAACAAACCACCCGUUUAUUAUGAGAGAUUGCUAAAUAGGAAGACAAUGAUUUUAACCGAGAUGAGAGAAAACAUUGGUGGAAAAGAAUAAAAGGAUGCAAGGUGUAACUCUGACCUUACAGCAGCCUUAGAGUGUUUGAUAUACUCAGAACCAGUUUGAAAAAUGUCAUGUGCAAUUGGAGAGCUGCAUUUAAAGAGAAGAAAGUUAUAGAACGUUGCAAGGAGAAACAGAACACGUGAAUGAAGCACUAAAUCUUGACAACAUGUAUCUUAGAAAUAUAUGCAAUUACCCCAAUGGUGUAGCGGCAGGAGAUGUAGUAGCUAAAUUAGCUCUAGUGGGAUUGUUUGUUUCGAAGGCAGAAAGUGAGCGCUUGGUAAGGAAAAUUUGCGACAUGGGUUGAUUGUCCUCAGAAGUUGCAGGAUGAAGAAAGUGGAGGUGUUUGUUGUUUGGUUGACCUUGUGAUCAAAAAUAACAAAUAGAAGAGUGAAAAUGUAGGUACGUGUACUUGUAAGCAUUCACACAUGCAAAAUACAGUUUUGUGAGAUUAAAGAGAACACUCUGAAAUUAUAGGUGGGAAGCUGUACAUGUUGGUAUUUCUUGUAACUGGCUUGGAAGCUGGGGUUCCUUUAGUCUUGGCUGCCACCUUUGGAGAAGUCUUCCUUGCAGGAGUUGAUCUGGAAGAUGGCAAAAGUAAAAAUGAAACAAAGAAGGUAAAUGGAAACAUGGACCAAACUAACUUUGUCUUCGGCAGCUUGGAUUGUUUUUUCGUUUUGAAGUGUCCUCAUCUUUGUGAGCAGCACUAACCAAAGAACUUAAUUGGAAAAGAGUGCAAAGUUAAGUAAGAAUGUAGAGUGUGAUAUAAGAACAUCCGAUAGUAAACUAACACUUGGUCUUCAGAAACAGUGGUUGGAGAUGUUGAAGGUGAGACAUAAGUUGGCACUGGGGCAACAUGCUCAGGAUCACCGGGCAUAGGUGUGUUGUGAGUACUUGGGGAACUGCAAAAAAUAUAAAGGUAAUGAAAAAGCAGGAAAGAUAUCACAAUGAAGAAAGUGCAAAAGGCUAACUGUAUACAAACGUCAACGGGCUAAUUAGGGUCGAAGGGGGAGGCGGAGCAACUGACUGACGACGGGGAGUAACCAAACCAGAGAUAUUGCAAACUUUAAAAUCUCCAAAAGGGUUUGAGUGGCUAAACUUUGGCAGUUGGAAUUCAAAAUCAACAUUUUUUCCUACUAAGAAUGCAAUUGCUGGUGGGAAUUGGUCAAGAUCAUUUGGAUAUGCACGGACCAACUAAGCAGCGGGGAUGGGGAGAAUUCUUUCAGCCGUCAUACCAAGCAAAACGAACAAUGCCUCAACAGUUGAAUCUGAAACCAUAAGCUUUAGGCGAUACCUGAGAAAUACAGAGUAUAAACUGGACAACAAUAAAAUAUCUGCAAAUAAAAGGAGUGCCAAUAUGGGGGUAGGUACAGAAAAUGUGGCCAUUUCAGCAAUGAUGUAUCGCAAUGAAGGAAGCAAAACACUAUCAUGAACAAUACAACAUUGAUGGGCACACACAUGAAGUGUAUAGUUGAAUCCUCUG
rnacentral:lncRNA from 1 species